GCACAAAAUAAACAUUCCUGUGCCCCAGAUUAUUAUAUUCCUUCAGGAGCACACAUAUGUGAGCCAUAGUAUUAAUAAGUUACAGAUCAUCUGAUCCAGACACAUGCCUGAUCUCUGUAAGUAGCAUAUGAGACUUGAAUACACCACAACUCCUUGUCACAUACUAUAGUGGGUAUUUGUACCCCACCCCCCACUUGGACAUAGGCAAAAAGAGAUAUUCAGAUUGAAGAUGUAUAAUCUGAUGUGGUCCUGAUGAAUUACUCCCACAAAUGGCACCCUUGGUGUGCCAUGGCAACAAAAUCUUGUUAUUGUGAGGUAGAUCCAUGAUGUCACUGAGUUCAGGAGGCUUUAAAACUGUGAAGUGCUACAGUUGACUGUCACCAUUAAUCUCAAGCACAGCCAACAACCAAAUUAUCUUGGGAAGCUAUUAAUUCAUUUAAAUACUCUUUCAGCAAGCAAAAGGGAGGCACCAGAUUGCACUGAACACAUUUAUAAUUUCAUGUUUUGCAACAUUUGGCUUCAGUUGCUAUAGUUCUUUUUGCACAAAUUUCAAGACUUUUGAGACCCUCAAAUUUCAAAAUUCCUAUCCAGCCCUGAGA
rnacentral:lncRNA from 9 species